UUCGCCUGUUUAUCAAAAACAUGUCUGUAUGUAUUAAUUAUAUAGUCUAACCUGCCCACUGAUUAAAUUUAAAGGGCCGCGGUAAUUUGACCGUGCGAAGGUAGCAUAAUCAGUAGUCUUUUAAUUGAGGGCUGGAAUGAAUGGUUGGACGAGAGAGUGGCUGUCUUUAUUAUGUGUAUUGAAUUUUACUUUUAAGUGAAAAGUCUUAAAUAAAUUUAGGGGACGAUAAGACCCUAUAAAACUUAACAUAUUACUUUAUUUUCAAAAUUAGAUGUUUAAAUAAAGCUAAAAGGUUUUGUUUGGUUGGGGCGACUAGAAUAAAUUAUAAACUGUUCUAAAAUUAAAAUAAUUAUAAUUAGUAAAUUUGACCCUUUAAUAAGGAUUAAAAGAAUAAGUUACUUUAGGGAUAACAGCGUAAUUUUUUUUGAGAGUUCUUAUCGACAAAAGUAGUUGCGACCUCGAUGUUGAAUUAAAAUUUCUUUUAAAUGUAGCAGUUUAAAUAGUAGGUCUGUUCGACCUUUAAAAUUUUACAUGAUUUGAGUUCAAACCGGUGUGAGCCAGGUGGGUUUCUAUCUAAA
rnacentral:rRNA from 1 species